GACCGGUGGGCUUACCUAAGGAUGAGGGCCCUGGAGGACAACGUCCCACGCUCUGCGUCCGGCCCCGUACCCCAGGGACGAGGUCUCAUUCGGAUGUCAAGUGGGGCCUUAGAGACCUACCCACCAAGGAACAGCCCAGCUCUGCACUAACCAGCACAUGCUCCUGAGCCUCAGUGAUCUCCUGCUUUAAAUGGGGAUGAGUCCUGCUUUGCCCACCUCCCGCGAUGUUUCUUUGUGGUCUUAUAGACCACUGAGGUUACAGAAAUGGACAAGUCAGACCUGUUUCCUGCUUACUCGGAACUCAACAGACUUUGGGGCUGCCCUGUCCGGCACAGUGGCCCUUAGUCACUCAUGGCUAUAGGAUGCAACAAUCAUAGACGCUCUGUGAGUUCACGAAGCCCGGCUUGGACCAGUUCCUGUUCAUGGAGUCUUAGGUGGCAGUGAUGACCUUG